rnacentral:lncRNA from 1 species
GAAAAAGGGGUGUGCAAAUCAUAACAGAAUUUUCUUUUUACGAGAAAUGGACUCAGCCCAACAGCUUAAGCCCAAUACAAAAAGGGGUGCGAGUGGUAGACAGAUGUGCGCAAAGUAGAAAGGUUUUUUUUUGUUUUUAUUUUAUUUUUGUUUUAAAAGAAAGUCAACCCAGAAACAUAGGCCCAAGGCUUUCUUCCCAGCAGAACCUUUAGGGGUUCUCUCCCUACCCUCA